AUUUUCUUUCUUGGUCAGCCUGAUAAGCAAUGGCCAAUUUCUUGAGGGUUUUUUUUCUUUUUCAGCAGGCUCAGUGGUAAAGGAUCUGCAAGAAAGUACAGCUUUGUAGAAGAUUUUGGAAAGCCCCUGUCAGACAAAGAGGAUGGUUGGACGCUGGUAAUAAUAUAUGGAUUCUGUUGGAGAUAGAGUAUCAUACAAGUAUUGGAUGAAAUAUUUACCUGGCAAACAGACUUGCUGCUACAUUUCAAGUGACCUUGUCUUGGUGUACAGAAUACCAUCCCAUGAGGCAGUGCUGAGACACAGCUAUUAAGAAGAGUGAGCCCUGCAAAGAAGACUUUCCAACUUUACAGUAAGGUAGGACCUGUCAGAUACAACCUCUCAUAGAUGCACAAAGCUAGAUCAUCUUUCCUU
rnacentral:lncRNA from 1 species